AUUGCCAAUAUUAAAACACGUGAGGUUUUAUCAAGAUAUUAGUAUAUUACUGAUUAAAUAUGAAGUUUUGUUGUUAUUCUCAUAUUUGUUUCAGGUUAGCUCUUAUGCUUAUCUCUAACUUUCUUCUCUUUGUU
rnacentral:sRNA from 1 species